ACAUAUCAGAAUCAGUCCCCAACAAAACCGUUCAACUCCUUGAAGCCUCGAUUGUGUGCCCUAGUCUCAACACUUCAUCAUUGAGCCUUCGUUCAUCCUCUACCGGUGUAUCGACGACGUCACGCUACAGCACCACUGUGAUUUAAAGGCUACAAAUGAUAAAACUGUUUCCCAAUUGGGCUAAAACCAUCAAAUCCGAAACCAUCAUCACCGUAGGAUAGGAGGGUCUGAUGUUUCGUGCGGCAAAUGAGAUCGGCUUGCGCCGGUGGAUCCUCUUCUUCGGCGGUCGCACGUUCGAGUUAGAGGAGUCGUCGGUGGAUUCCAUAAGCCAUCGAAGUUUGUCGAUUGUGGAGAGAGGCCAGGGGCUCCGACGGGCUGUUGUUUUAGUUGGGUUUGAAAUAUGUUGGCUUGUGACGAAACCAAGGAUGGCAUCGCAAGAACCAGGAAAUAGGACAAUAUGAAAGCAUCAACAUCAAAGUCGUUUUUGUUGCAGAACCUAGGACAAUAUGAAAGCAUCAAAAUGGAUGUCGUUUCUUGAUUUGAACAUGUUUCAUGGAGGUCUUUAUAAAAUGGCGUUAUGAGUAAUACUUUUGAGUAUUAUUCUCAUGUGACAAGUUUAUAUGUACCUUUUGGAUUAUGGUGUAACUAUUAGUUUGCUACAAACAUUUGAUUUAUUUUUUAUAUGACAAGCUUAUGUAAUGAACCUUUUAACUAAGGUGUUUUGGAUAUUUUGAGAUUACGAAAAUGCACACUCUUUUAUCUUUUA